AGAUCAUGCCACUACACUCCAACCUGGUGACAGAGUGAAACUCCGUCUCAAAAACAAAGAAGAGGAGGGAAUGGAAGGUCUGAGAUAGGAGGGUGAAGAGGCCGGAAGAAGCAAGGGAACAAGAAUGGCACUGCCUUUGAUUUGCUUUACUUUCCCUACCCUAUAGGGUCUCUCUUUAUGGUGACCGUGUGUCAUCCUAAGUGGGAGAUUUUGAGAGGGAAGAGAGCACUAACUGCCUCCCCACCAUCUGGGACAACAGGCGCAGGUAGCCCAGGAUCCAAACAGCAGGUAUAAACUGACAUUGAGCCACAUGGUCACCUUCUAUCUGUGCCCUGGACAGAGACGCCACAUCUACGGUGGCUUCUUUUACUCAACAUGGCUGGCUCUCCUCAACUCCCGACCUCAGCUUCCAGCUCUACCCCGUUGCCCCCACAAGGUGUUCACAGCCACUUCCAUCUUCACAAUCACACUUGAGCCUGGUCCCCUUUUGUUUUCUAUCCUAGCUGAGGACAUCUCUUUUACCGUGGUCCCCCAACCUGGAAAUCUCCCUAAACUUUAUAUCAAAUGAGUCACCAAGUCCUGGCAAUUCCUCUUCCCCCAGGUGUCAUGGAGCCCCAGCCCCCUCUUCCCAGGAGCUCCAGUCCCAGCCCGGCUUUGGUUCACAGUUCCCCAUCAGAUCUUUUCUCCCCUAGGCACCCUGCCUAUUUCACACCCAAACUCCAUAACCCUGGAUUUUGGCUGAGUUGGCGACAACACUGGUGUAAGACACCAGGCAGAUUCACCUAACUAAAUGGACCCACUUCCUCACUGUUGCAGAAUGUUCCAGAGCCUUUCCAGGGCGUCUUAACUUGUCAGGUCUCCAGGCACCUGACACAAGUGUCCGGACACAUACAUGCCUUGAUUUGCUGAACUCAGGAGCACUGCAGGAAGGAGCUCCGCUUCUCUUGGAGGCAGAAAUGUUGAGAGCUUUCCUUGGGCUUAUAUUGCAGGAAGGAGAGCCAAGAAGGCACCAAGGAGAAAGAUGCUGGGCAGAGAAGUCCAGGCUGCGUGGCUGGGUGUGGCCGUGGGAGAGCCCGGGGCCUAGGGGCUGUGUGCAGCUGGGGCUGUGCUUCCAGCUCCAGAAGAGUCUGCUGGGGAAAGAAAGGGAGAAGGAACAGAGGAAAGAGCCCAACCAAGGGAAUACCAGCUCCUCUGCCGUGGGCUCCACUCUGACAGAACUGGCAGUGACAAGUAGAAGGUGGAGCCUGGCCCAGCACGGUGGCUCACAUCUGUAAACCCAGCACUUUGGGAGUCCAAGAACAUUCUAAAUGAAGACAUAACUGGAGAUAAUAGCGUGUGACUUCCCAUGUGCUCGUCUCCCAGCUUUAGCACCUACCGACCCACGGCUGAUCUGAUUUCUGUGUACCUGCUUACACCCCUUCCUCAUCGAACUUAAAAAAAAAACAACAGCUUUUUUUUCUUUUUAGAGACAGGGUUUCCCUUUAUCACCCCAUGUUGGAGUGUUAAAAACAGCUUUAUUGAAAUAUAAUUCACAUAUUAUACAAUUCACCCAUCUAAAGUGUACCAUUUAGUGUUUUUAGUAUUCAUCAUAUCUUGCAAACAUCAUUACAAUCCAGUUUUCUUUUUCUUUUUUUUUCUU